CGUACCGUCGGGGAGGCGGGCGGGGGAAGACGGAGGGUGCGGGCGUUGUCCGGAAUGACUGGGGGUAAAGGGCGCGGAGGUGGUUUGUCGCGUCGUCUGUGGAAGUCCGGGGCUUAACGGCGGGCGUGCAGGCGAUACGGGCAUAACUUGAGUGCUGUAGGGGAGACUGGAAUUCCUGGUGUAGCGGUGGAAUGCGCAGAUAUCAGGAGGAACACCGAUGGCGAAGGCAGGUCUCUGGGCAGUAACUGACGCUGAGGAGCGAAAGCAUGGGGAGCGAACAGGAUUAGAUACCCUGGUAGUC
rnacentral:rRNA from 1 species